AAUACCGCAUAACGUCGCAAGACCAAAGAGGGGGACCUUCGGGCCUCUUGCCAUCGGAUGUGCCCAGAUGGGAUUAGCUAGUAGGUGGGGUAACGGCUCACCUAGGCGACGAUCCCUAGCUGGUCUGAGAGGAUGACCAGCCACACUGGAACUGAGACACGGUCCAGACUCCUACGGGAGGCAGCAGUGGGGAAUAUUGCACAAUGGGCGCAAGCCUGAUGCAGCCAUGCCGCGUGUAUGAAGAAGGCCUUCGGGUUGUAAAGUACUUUCAGCGGGGAGGAAGGGAGUAAAGUUAAUACCUUUGCUCAUUGACGUUACCCGCAGAAGAAGCACCGGCUAACUCCGUGCCAGCAGCCGCGGUAAUACGGAGGGUGCAAGCGUUAAUCGGAAUUACUGGGCGUAAAGCGCACGCAGGCGGUUUGUUAAGUCAGAUGUGAAAUCCCCGGGCUCAACCUGG
rnacentral:rRNA from 1 species